UCGUUGAAGUGUAGAAGGCAAACAAACCCUGCAAGGCGGAGGUAACAGAUUGCACAAACACAUUGAAACAUUUUCAGCUGUUCACUAACACUGUUACAUUUUCUGGAAUUUUCAAUGGAAUGGGAGAAUACGAGAGGCGAAUACCCAAUAUUUCAAGAAGAAUAAACGAAAAGCGCAGUUUAUUUUGGAUUUUAAAGAGAGAAAACGAAAGAGGUUAACAAGGAGAAAAAGAAAUCAUUUGGACCAUUGGUAAAAUUCAAAUCUAUUGCGUGCAGCAACCAAAUAAUGGAGUGUGUGUUAAAU